rnacentral:rRNA from 1 species
GAUGAACGCUGGCGGCGUGCCUAAUACAUGCAAGUAGAACGCUGAAGGAAGGAGCUUGCUCUUUCCGGAUGAGUUGCGAACGGGUGAGUAACGCGUAGGUAACCUGCCUGGUAGCGGGGGAUAACUAUUGGAAACGAUAGCUAAUACCGCACAACAGUAGAUGUUGCAUGAUAUCUACUUAAAAGGUGCAAUUGCACCACUACCAGAUGGACCUGCGUUGUAUUAGCUAGUUGGUGAGGUAACGGCUCACCAAGGCGACGAUACAUAGCCGACCUGAGAGGGUGAUCGGCCACACUGGGACUGAGACACGGCCCAGACUCCUACGGGAGGCAGCAGUAGGGAAUCUUCGGCAAUGGACGGAAGUCUGACCGAGCAACGCCGCGUGAGUGAAGAAGGUUUUCGGAUCGUAAAGCUCUGUUGUAAGAGAAGAACGAGUGUGAGAGUGGAAAGUUCACACUGUGACGGUAUCUUACCAGAAAGGGACGGCUAACUACGUG